AGCUGGACGGGGGCCUCUUGUCAGAGCAUCUUUAGAGGUUGGUCCAGAUAUGUAUCUGUGCGAAUUCGCUGCCCGCUCGUACUGCUUGUCUUUUCUUGUGUUGCUGGAAGAAUGAGCUCUUGGUUAGCAGUCAUUUAUCAAAAAAUAACUUGCCGGUUCUGUUGAGCUAGUAACCCCAGAUUAUUGACGAUUAAGUGGUAAUAGUAAAUGUAGAUCAAGAGAUGAACAAGUUAUCUUGAAGCUAAGCUAGCAUAAAGAUAGGUUUACUAUAAUUAGUUUGUUCGUAGUCAGGAAGUUGUUUUUAUUUAGUUUUGGACUAUCUUGUAGAAAAAAUGAUGCUAGUUAGAAAGUUAUUUUUGUUUUAAAACUCUGCGAAUUAAUUUAAUGUAUAAAUUGUUAUCAUUUUUUCUAAAUUAACUAUGUUAUCGCUAAGUAUAUAUGAAUCAAAGUAUAGUAUGACGUGGUUAUAUA